GAUGUCAACUGGUCAUCAUCGACCUGGAUCAGUCCACUGCUGGAUGGAGGCCUCCCCAAGCCGUCACCGUCACUCACGAUCCUGCGAUCAGCUCAAGUCAAUUCGACCGAGCCCCUUCGACCGAAUGCAAAGAACAGCCACGCGUCGGAGCAGCCUCAAGCCCAGGAGGAUUUCAUUCACAGCACAAAAGCCUUGCGGGUGGUGACAUCUUCUGCAGUGAGCGAUGUCAACCGGUCAUCAUCGACCUGGAUCAGUCCACUGCUGGAUGGAGGCCUCCCCAAGCCGUCGCCGUCACUCACGAUCCUGCGAUCGGCUCAAGUCAAUUCGACCGAGUCCCUUCGACCGAACGCAAACAACAGCCACGAGUCGGAUGACCCUCACGACCGCGGCGUCGUUGACAGUGCAGCCGCCAUGGCGUCCAUGAUCGCCCUUGGGGCGAGCAGCGG